GCAAUGGUGGUAUAGUGGUGAGCAUAGCUGUCUUCUAAGCAGUUGGCCUGGGAUCAAUUUCCAGCCAUUGCA